UACGGAGGGUGCGAGCGUUAAUCGGAAUUACUGGGCGUAAAGCGCGCGUAGGCGGCCAACUAAGUCGGUUGUGAAAGCCCCGGGCUCAACCUGGGAAUGGCAGUCGAUACUGGUUGGCUGGAGUAUGGGAGAGGACAGUGGAAUUCCAGGUGUAGCGGUGAAAUGCGUAGAGAUCUGGAGGAACAUCAGUGGCGAAGGCGACUGUCUGGCCUGAUACUGACGCUGAGGUGCGAAAGCGUGGGGAGCAAACAGG
rnacentral:rRNA from 1 species